GUGGGCUAUGGGGACAUGUACCCCGUGACGGUCGGGGGCAAGCUGGUGGGCUCGCUGUGCGCCAUCGCGGGCGUGCUGACCAUCUCCCUGCCCGUGCCGGUCAUCGUGUCCAAC
rfam:Lepisosteus oculatus unplaced genomic scaffold TNK23, whole genome shotgun sequence.